rnacentral:rRNA from 2 species
GAGUUUGAUCCUGGCUCAGAAUGAACGCUGGCGGCAGGCCUAACACAUGCAAGUCGAACGGAGUUAUAUUGUAGCUUGCUAUGGUAUAACUUAGUGGCAGACGGGUGAGUAAUGUAUAGGAAUCUACCUAGUAGUACGGAAUAAUUGUUGGAAACGGCAACUAAUACCGUAUACGCCCUACGGGGGAAAAAUUUAUUGCUAUUAGAUGAGCCUAUAUUAGAUUAGUUAGUUGGUGAGGUAAAGGCUUACCAAGACAAUGAUCUAUAGCUGAUCUGAGAGGAUGAUCAGCCACACUGGAACUGAGAUACGGUCCAGACUCCUACGGGAGG